rnacentral:lncRNA from 1 species
AAUUCUAAUUUUCUUAUAAACUUGUAGCUAAACAAAACUUUUAAAGAAAAUUCACCUAGUUACAUUUUCAGCCAUUUAUCAUCCUUUUUCUUGACAUAUGCUAUUAUUAGAACAAAGAUGAAAUGGUAAAAUCUGAACAACCCGCAGUUCCUUUUUUUUUUUUUUUUUUUUUUGUAACACUUAACCCGCAGUUCCUUAAGUUUGCAGAAAAAUGAAUAUUUCAAAAAUUAAAACCCAAAUAAAAGAAGCAUAUCUCAGCCAUAUGAAAAGCAUAAACAUGUAAAACCUUGAACUAAAUGACUAGACCUCAAAUUAUUAGCAAUAAACUCAAACUUACAAUUUUCACUAACUUUUAGAGAACAUAUGAAAGAUGUUUAAGGGGAAUGUCCUCGGCAAAACCUUAAAAAAAACACUUCCUUCUAGAACAAAUAGGAAACACCUCAUGAACCAAGUAACCCUAACUUCAUAUACCGACAAGGAAGGAUCACCUACAUAUUCUAAUACACACUCUCGAAAGCGGCUGAGUCGAAAGAGACCGUCGAACGCCUAGAUAUGAGCCAAUCCAUGACAUAACAAGCACAUGCCAUCAAUGGCAGAAGAUAUAUUAAAAGGAAUCACAUCCAUCUCCAAAAUGAACAAAAUAUCUGUAAAAAAAGGCAAUACUAAUAGAAAAAGAUAUUUGCGAAAUCAAUCAAAUUAACUAGAUUUAGUUUGAAAAUACAAAGAUAAAAAAAAAUUAAAGAUAAUUAAAUUCACACCGCUAAUCCACAUAUCCUAAACUUCCAUACUCAAAUUCAUUCUAGAUCUAUCAUUAAAAUUGAUUUG